GUUGAGCACGCACCGUUGUGGGGCCCGAGGGUUGAGGAUCAGCAAAGUGGAGAUGUUUUUUCCUAUCUUCACCACCUGGGGGCGGCCCGUCAGGAAGUCCAGGACCCAAUUGCACAGGCCGGGGUUGAAACCCAGGGCCGCUAGCUUAAUGAUGAGCUUGGAGGGUACUAUGGUGUUGAUGCAAUAUUUUGAAUAGUGUAGUAGUGUGGUGGCAGGUAGCCUAGCGGUUAAGCGUGUUGGGCCAUUAACUGAAAGGUCACUGGUUUGAAUCCCCAAACUGACUAGAUCUGUCAAUGUGCCCUAGAACAAGGCACUUCACCCUAAUCGCUCUGGAUAUGUCACGACUUCUACCGAAGGUCCCUGCAAAAUCCCAACCAGCUCCUGAUGCGUUGGGCUUUGUUCUUGCAACCAUUCAACCUUGAUAUUAGACACAUUAGUGGUACCAGGGCUGCCGCGUUUGAGGGGUGGACAGUCAAUUGGAGGACACGGGGCUACUACUAGGAGCCGGGACUGGUAUCCUUUUUUGGGGGGGAAAUUUGAAUUGUUUUGAAAAUGUUGGAGGAAGUUGGGUUGAGGGUGGGACCCUCAUUUUAAGGAGGGGGGUGUCACGGCUCCUCUGCAUUGCAGGGGCUGUUCCUCCUGCAGGCAGAGGAGGGUCGUUAGUGAUUGGAGUCACCUGGGAUCAGAGUAUUUAAACGGUCACAUCACCUCUCUCUCCGCUCCUCCAGGUAUGAACCUGUUUUGUUUGUUCUUUUGUAGUGUUGCAUAGUUUUCACUCAGUCAUUCACACACACAGAUUCACGCAUCCAUACACUUUACAUUAUGAUACUUCCACACCUCAUUCCUUUUUCUUAGUUUAAAGUUAAUAGUUUUGAUUACAAUAAAGUUUUUUAAAAAUUGGCC
ensembl:lncRNA